rnacentral:sRNA from 1 species
UACACGAUGAAUAUAUUGUCGCUGGUUC